UGGGGAAUUUUGCACAAUGGGGGAAACCCUGAUGCAGCGACGCCGCGUGAUUUAGAAGGCCUUCGGGUUGUAAAAAUCUUUUCUAUGGGAAGAAAAUGACAGUACCAUAGGAAUAAGGACCGGCUAAUUACGUGCCAGCAGCCGCGGUAAUACGUAAGGUCCGAGCGUUGUCCGGAAUCAUUGGGCGUAAAGGGUACGUAGGCGGGUAAGCAAGUUAGAAGUGAAAUCCUAUAGCUCAACUAUAGUAAGCUUUUAAAACUGCUCAUCUUGAGGUAUGGAAGGGAAAGUGGAAUUCCUGGUGUAGCGGUGAAAUGCGCAGAUAUUAGGAGGAAUACCAGUGGCGAAGGCGACUUUCUGGCCAUAACCUGACGCUGAGGUACGAAAGCGUGGGUAGCAAACAGG
rnacentral:rRNA from 1 species